rnacentral:rRNA from 1 species
CCUACGGGAGGCAGCAGUGAGGAAUAUUGGUCAAUGGGCGCGAGCCUGAACCAGCCAAGUCGCGUGAGGGAUGACGGUCCUACGGAUUGUAAACCUCUUUUGUCAGGGAGCAAUUGGCGCUACGUGUAGCGUUAUCGAGAGUACCUGAAGAAAAAGCAUCGGCUAACUCCGUGCCAGCAGCCGCGGUAAUACGGAGGAUGCGAGCGUUAUCCGGAUUUAUUGGGUUUAAAGGGUGCGUAGGCGGAAUGCCAAGUCAGCGGUAAAAUCGCGGGGCUCAACCUCGCUCCGCCGUUGAAACUGGCGGUCUUGAGUGGGCGAGAAGUAUGCGGAAUGCGUGGUGUAGCGGUGAAAUGCAUAGAUAUCACGCAGAACUCCGAUUGCGAAGGCAGCAUACCGGCGCCCAACUGACGCUGAAGCACGAAAGCGUGGGUAUCGAACAGGAUUAGAUACCCCUGUAGUC